rnacentral:piRNA from 1 species
UGAUGAAACUGUAACUUACAAGAAAAGGGC